GAGGUUGGUUUGCUAACUAGUGGCCCAUUUCCUAUGUGAUUGUGUAAACUUUUAGUUCUUUGCUUUAUCCUAACAUUGGUUAUUGACCUAAUUCAUUUUCAGGAAAAGAAUGUCCUUCCACAAGAAAAGAAGGACGAUCAGAAAACUGUUGAUGCACCAUUGAUUAAAUCUAUUGAGGGAGUCCCGGACUUGAAGGCUUAUUUAGGGGCUAGAUUUUCUCUCAAGGCAGGAAUGAAACCUCAUGAGCUUGUUUUCUAGAGGAAAAAAAAGAAAAGAAUUUGCUAAUUCUGUUUGAACUUUAUUUUAGCAGUUGUGCUAUUCAAUUUUUUGGCAGUUGACAGCUAUAUGAACCUCGUAUAUGGUGAUGCAUUAUGAAACGGGAUUUUUCAUUUUCCUAUUUCUGUUAUAGAUUACUGAUUACUUGGUCUAUACAAUAUGCAAAAAAAAUCUUUCAGGAGAUGAUGUAUGUUCUAUAUAUGGUUCUAAUAGAUUUAUUGGCAUUAUUUCUUAUGAUUAGUUUUGGUGAUUGUGGUUUCUUAUGUCCUGUCUAUGGAUGGUGAAUUUUCAUUUUAUAUGUUGUAAAGGGAACUAGCAUUGUUUGGGGGUUACUCUGAAAUCAAGUUGUUCCUUUGUUUAAACAGUUGAUGAUUCGGUUGGUCCAGGAAUUUUGUUAUGUCUUUACUGGUGCCUGAUCCUGCUAUUGCUUUAGAUUUUUGAUAGGAAUGCAAAUCGAUUAAUGAUUGUCCUGGUUUAAGGCUCCCUUGCUGGAUUAGAUGAUGGGAUUAAAUCUAUUACCGUAGCUAGUGAUAAUCAAUAGCUAAUUGCAAUUGAAAUAUUCGAAAUAUUUGAUUUGAAAGAUUAUGUAUAGUUAUGUAAAAUUAUGAAUAAGAUAAUAUAUUAUAUAAAAAAUAUUAUAAAUAAAUAUAGUUAUUUUAUAACAUUUAUAUUUUAUUUUAUAAGUGUAAAUGAUUUAUUAAUAUGUAUUAAAGCUUAUGUUAAUAUGAAAAUUUUGUAACUAAAAGAUACUAAAAAGAAUAAUAUGGAAAGCUCUAAAAUUAAAAUUGAUACAAAAGAUCAUUGAUAAGAUAUCUAUUAGGUGAACUAUCAAUUAGAAACUGUAUACAAUAAGCUGUCUGCUAAGCAACACCCUCUCAUAAGAAGCUUAUGGAAAGCAGUAAAUUAGAAAGUAGUGAGUUAAAUAUUUUUGAUUUAUUGGUUAAAAAAAAUCAUAAUUUUAUAAUUUUAAAUAAGAGAGCUUGGAAUUUAUAAUUUAAAUAUAUUUUAAAAUUAAUUUUAACCAUAUUUAAAUUAAUUUAUAUGAUAUAUUAUAUAUUAUUAUUUUUACUGUAUAAAUAAUUUGAUUAAAUGAAAUUAAAUUUUAAUUAAGAUUUUUAUUUUUAGUUAUAUAAAAUAAAAUUUUUAAAUUAUAUAAUUACAAUAAUUAAUUCUCUUUUAUUUAAAUAAAGAUUUUAAUUAAAAAUUUUAAAUAAUUAAAUAUUUAAAAUUUUAACCAAAAUUUUAUUUAGAUUAAUCAAGUAUUUAUAUAAUAAAAAUAAUUUAAAAAAUUAUUAUAAUUAUGAUAAAUUUAAAAGUUGAAAUUUUUUAAUUUAAAAUUAAAUUUAAUAAAAAAUAAUUUAAAAAAUUAUUAUAACUAUGAUAAAUUUGAAAGUUAAAAUUUCUUAAUUUAAAAUUAAAAAUUUCAGAUAUAAAUAUAAAAAUUUAUAAAGUUAUAAUUUUUUAUCAAUAUUUUCACUAUCUUUUUUUUAAUUUAUUUACUUUUUAUUAAAUAAAAAAAUUAUUAUAAAGCCUCUAAAUUUUAAUAAAAUUAAAUAAUUAAUUUUUAUAAUUCUUUAACUCAAAUUAAAAUGUGCCUAGUAUUCUUAAAGCAGAACCAUCAUGUCCUUGUUCUUCUGAAAUGUCAUUCAACUCUCGUCUAGCCGCCCACCUCUCUGUCUUUGCAACUUUCUCUCUCUCUCCUUCUUAAAACUCAACUUAGAUGUUGUCGUUUCUUCUCUCGCCACUCAAUUUCACUCUCAGUCUCACAUGCAUCCUCUACAGAUUCUCUAAAUGGAUCUGUUCUUUAUUCUUGAUCGUGAAUCAUUUGAUUCAGAUUCAAACUCAAAUCCAGAUUAGAAAUCACUCUUGGAAUCGUUGCUCACCGAUUUCCCAGACUCAGACUUGGAGAAGCCCUUUCAGUCACGCGUUAUUCUUCUCUUCGUCUUGCCCAUACCUCUUCAAAAUCUCAUAUGCUUCGCCUUCCAGAUCUUCUUUGUUCUCAUCGCUGGUUGGACUUAGGGUAAGAGUUCAAAUACCCUUUCAAUCACACGCUGCAGUUCUCAUCCCUGUUCUAGAUUGAUUUUUUUAAGAAAAAAAAAAAUUGAAUGCACUUGUGCUGCUCAACAUUCAAAGGAUUACUCCGUUGCUUAUUUUACCAAGCGAGCCAAUUUUAUGGAGAUAAAGAAUCCAAUCUCCACUUUUUAUAUAUUAAAAGAAAAUUCUGGUGUCUGAUUGAGUAGUUAUCCAAUUUCAAUUUUGUGAUUCACAUGCAUCCUUUGCAUCAAUUGUUGCCUUAAUUGAUUGUUUUGAAUAUAUUUAGUGUCCUUGCCAUUUUGCCGUUGAGACUUGAAAAGGGUUAAACUCCCAUCUCUUGAAUAUGGAAAAACGAUUGCAGCCAGAAAACUUGUGCUUAAUUAAAAACAAAAUGGGAUUAGUUCAACUAGAAAAAUUAUGCAUAUGGGAAGGACAAUGACUGCUACUCUAAUCUCUUGCAUGUGGAAUGUCAACAGCUACUUCUUAAACUAUAGAAACCUUCCAUAAUUUUAUUUUAUGUGUAAAAACUUAUAAAUUUUUUCUCAAUAUUCAAUAUAUUUGUUUUUUGUAAGAAACAAGUUUUAAGACAAAAAUUACAUUUUUUUUCUCAUAACAAUAAAUUUUAUUUAUUUUUAUGACUUAAUGCUCAAUUUCACCUUUAUAGUUACUAUAAAUUUAAUGUAGGUCAUUUUUUUAAAAUCCAUAUAUAUUGAUUAAAAGAAUCAUUUAUUGAAAUUGCUCGCACUGCAAUUAGAGUUGUGCAUGUUGAUAAAGUGCAUAUUUUGUUAAUGUUCUUAUAUUUUUAUUGUCUUGAAUUUAUGGUCAAAUAAUAUUUGAGCAAUUUUAUUUAUCGAUCUUUUACUUUUUAUAAGUUGAAUGAUGAUUAGAUAAAAAAAAAAAAAUUGUACAUGUUUUAAAAGAAACAGAGUUUAUCUCAAACUCUUACUCUUAAACUUUAACUUUUUGAUAAACAUAUAUAUUUCAUCAUGAAUUAGAUUAUGGGCAAAACCAAUCAAAAAAGAAAAUAUAUAAACCUAUUUGGAAAAAUGACUAAGAACCUUUCCAUAAGAUGAAUUUUAGAGAGAUAAUUUGUUUUGAAAUUCUAGUAAUUAUCUGGCAAAAAAGGGAAAUUCUAGUAAUUAGAAACGGGUAAAAGUUUAAAUAAACCCUUCAAAUAAACCCAUUUCAUGUAUUUUGGCCAAAAUAACCCCAAAGCUUUUGAAUUAAGGUCGUAUUAGUCCAAAUUCAAUAAAAUAUUAUUUUUUAAACUUGAAAUAUUAUUUUCUUUAAUUUUUAAAUAUUAAACUAAUUUACUAUAUUUAAUUAAAAUAAAAAAUUGAAAAAAUUAAAAGAACCCUUCCCAACCCAUAAAUUCAAGCCCAAACAUCUUGAAAGUUUUGAUUCAACAUGACGAAAUUUCUCUCUUUUCUCUUUCUUCCUUCUCACUUCUCUUUCCACAGCCAAAAACUUGAAUCCCCACUUUGCCAACUGUUGCUCUCGUCAAACUCACCAACUCUGCUUCUCACUAGAUUUCCUUAACAUCCUGCAAAAGUGAAUUAAUCUUGAAAUUUAGAAUAGGAUUGAUGUGAGAAAACCGCAAUUUAAGAGCUUCAAAUCUCAAAUUUGAACCCCUCCUUGAGGAUUCAUGAGUCCAAGUGACACUCGUGAAAAAAUUCCUCUGCUCGUACUCGAAUUUUAACUAUUUCAACAAUUCUCAAUUUUAUCAAAAGAAUUUCAAGGCCUAAAACCAGCUUAUGGUUUUAGGCUAUUAUUCAAUUGAAUGGUUCUUGAUAAAGUUUUUAAACUCUUAAUUAUUGUAAUAAAUUUAUGACUUAUUAUUAGGAUUUGGUAUUUUUGACUUUAAAGGACAAUAUUUUAAGAUUAAAAAUUAGGAUUAAUAUGAACUUAAAUAAAAAAAUUUAAGAAUUAGUUGGCCAAAAGACAUAAGUGGGAUUUAUUUGAACUUGAGUGAGAAGUUAAGGAUUUUAUUUGGACUUUUUGCCAAUUAUAAAUUUAUUACUAGUAUUUAAAGCCUAGUAACUCACUAAGACCCAAGCCCAAUUUACUGUAACCGGAGGCCAUAACCCGAUUCUCCAAACUAGGGUUUCUUCAAUAGGGUUUUUCAUUCGGCACGAAUAUAAACGCCGCAUACGAUUUUAGUCUGCCAUUUUAUUGAGGGAAAGAGAGGGAGAUCGAACCUGACCGGAAGCAAUGGCUCCCAAGACGCCGAAGGUGAGCAGGAAUCCAGAUCUAGUUCGAGGAAUUGGUAAGUACUCGAGGUCUCAGAUGUACCAUAAGAGGGGUUUGUGGGCUAUCAAGGCCAAGAAUGGAGGUGUUUUCCCCAAGCACGACCCCAAACCCAAACCUGCUGCUCCCGCUGAGAAGCCGCCGAAGUUCUACCCUGCUGACGAUGUGAAGAAGCCUCUGCUUAACAAGCGGAAGCCGAAGCCCACCAAACUCAGGUAUUUACUAAACCCAUGAAGAACUCUUUUAAUUUCGUGGACAUGUUCAUAUUUUUGCUUGGCAUCUGCUUUUAGUAUUUUAUUUUUUUCCUUCCUACUUGCUUAGAAAUGUAUGAAUUUGUGCAUUUUUCAGUUAAAUUUGGAUAUUUCUUAUCUUUAUUCUUGUGCAGAUUUAGUGGUUUGAUGUAAACUCUGGUGGAUUUUAUUAGUUUUGGUUUAUCUUUGUGAUUGUGUGAUUGAACACAUGUUUGGGUGCAUUGAGGAAUACUGGUAAACUGUGAGAAAAUAUGGUUUUGGUUUAAUAUUUUUGUUACUUUUUUCUCGACGUUGCUUAUUCGCCCUAAUAAAGUGGUUAUUGGCAAAUAACUUGUGCCUAAUCGUGGAUAAUGUGUGUGCAUUAUAUUGCUGUUAAGGAUGUGUUGUAACCGUUUGUUUUGUACUUUUGUUUAAUGACUACAGAGCUAGUAUCACUCCAGGAAGUGUUCUGAUUAUUCUUGCUGGAAGAUUCAAGGGAAAAAGAGUUGUGUUCCUCAAGCAGCUUCCCUCUGGGUUGCUUUUGGUCACUGGUGAGCAUGUCUUGCUUUUGAGCUACUAUGUUAUUUGGAAAAUCUUCAUACGGAAGAGGAAAAAUAAAAUUCCAUCUCAGUAAUACUUAAACCUUCCUAUGAAACAAUCAAUUUAAUUAAGGAGCAGAACUUUUGUGGCUUGAAGGCUUGAAGCAUUUAAGAUUUUGGUUAUUUUUUAUGCCCUCUCCUUAUUCAAGGGCAUAAGUGUUCAUGUGCCCGAGCUAUAAGGCGAACUGGACAUUCUGGACAUACGCUUGAUUAGUUGAUUCAUUUUGCUGCUUGCUGCAGGUCCAUUUAAGAUCAAUGGUGUCCCUUUGAGGAGAGUCAACCAAUCUUAUGUCAUUGCUACCUCUACCAAGGUUGACAUUUCUGGAGUUAAUGUCGACAAGUUUGGUGACAAAUACUUUGCCAAGCAAGUGGAGAAGAAGAAAAGGAAGGGAGAGAGCGAGUUUUUUGAGGGAGACAAAGAGGUCAGUUUGCUAACCAGUGGCCCAUUUCUUGCUAACAAUUUGCCCAUUUCGUAAGUGAUUGUAUGAACUUUGUGUUUUUUGCUUUAUCCUAACAUUGGUUAUUGUCGUAAUUUUUAUUUUCAGGAAAAGAAUGUCCUUCCACAAGAAAAGAAGGACGAUCAGAAAAGUGUUGAUGCACCAUUGAUUAAAUCGAUUGAGGGAGUCCCGGACUUGAAGGCUUAUUUAGGGGCUAGAUUUUCUCUUAAGGCAGGAAUGAAACCUCAUGAGCUUGUUUUCUGAGGGAAAAAGAGAAUUAGAAUUUUGUUUGGUCUUUAUUUUUGCAGUUGUGCUAUUUCAUUUUUUCUAUAGUUGAUAGCUAUAUGAACUCCGUAUAUGUUGAUGCAUUGUGCAAUGGAAUUUUUAUUUUU
rnacentral:lncRNA from 1 species